rnacentral:rRNA from 1 species
GACGAACCGUCCAAACGUUAUUCGGAAUUACUGGGCUUAAAGGGUGCGUAGGCGGCGCGGAAAGUAGGGUGUGAAAUCCCUCGGCUCAACCGAGGAACUGCGCCCUAAACUACCGUGCUUGAGGGAGAUAGAGGUGAGCGGAACUUAGGGUGGAGCGGUGAAAUGCGUUGAUAUCCUAAGGAACACCCGUGGCGAAAGCGGCUCACUGGGUCUCUUCUGACGCUGAGGCACGAAAGCUAGGGUAGCGAACGGG